UACGUAGGGGGCGCGCGUUGUCCGGAUUUAUUGGGCGUAAAGAGCGUGUAGGCGGCCAGGUAGGUCUGCUGUGAAAACUCGAGGCUCAACCUCGAGACGUCGGCGGAAACCAUCUGGCUAGAGUCCGGAAGAGGAGAGUGGAAUUCCUGGUGUAGCGGUGAAAUGCGCAGAUAUCAGGAAGAACACCCGUGGCGAAGGCGGCUCUCUGGGACGGUACUGACGCUGAGGAGCGAAAGCAUGGGGAGCGAACAGG
rnacentral:rRNA from 1 species